rnacentral:rRNA from 1 species
AAUCAACGCUGGCGGCGUGCCUAACACAUGCAAGUCGAACGCGAAAGUGGAGCAAUCCAUGAGUAGAGUGGCAAACGGGUGAGUAACGCGUGGGCGACCUACCUUCGAGUGGGGGAUAACCUUCCGAAAGGAGGGCUAAUACCGCAUGACAUCCCGUGUUUGGAUACACGGACAUCAAAGCCGGGGAUCGUAAGACCUGGCGCUUGAAGAGGGGCCCGCGUCCGAUUAGCAGUUGGUGAGGUAACGGCUCACCAAGGCUCCGAUCGGUAUCCGGCCUGAGAGGGCGGACGGACACACUGGAACUGAGACACGGUCCAGACUCCUACGGGAGGCAGCAGUGAGGAAUUUUGGACAAUGGGGAAACCCUGAUCCAGCGACGCCGCGUGAAGGAUGAAGGUCUUCGGAUUGUAAACUUCUUUUGCCUGGGAAUAACGAACUCGUAG